CGUGUAGGUGGUUGAUUAAGUUGGCUGUGAAAUACCUGGGCUCAACCUAGGAAUUGCAGCCAAUACUGGUCAACUAGAGUGCAGUAGAGGGUAGUGGAAUUUCCGGUGUAGCGGUGAAAUGCGUAGAUAUCGGAAGGAACACCAGUGGCGAAGGCGACUACCUGGACUGUUACUGACACUGAGGCGUGAAAGCGUGGGGAGCAAACA
rnacentral:rRNA from 1 species